rnacentral:rRNA from 1 species
CCUACGGGUGGCAGCAGUGAGGAAUAUUUGUCAAUGGACGCAAGUCUGAACCAGCCAUGCCGCGUGCAGGAAGACGGCUCUAUGAGUUGUAAACUGCUUUUGUACGAGAGUAAACGCAGAUACGCGUAUCUGUCUGAAAGUAUCCUACGAAUAAGGAUCGGCUAACUCCGUGCCAGCAGCCGCGGUAAUACGGAGGAUUCAAGCGUUAGCCGGAUUUAUUGGGUGUAAAGUGUGCGUAGGCGGUCGGAUAAGUUAGAGGUGAAAUCCCGAGGCUCAACUUCGGAAUUGCAUCUGAUACUGUUAGGCUAGAGAGUAGUAGCGGUAGGCGGAAUGUAUGGUGUAGCGGUGAAAUGCUUAGAGAUCGUGCAGAACACCGAUUGCGAAGGCAGCUUACCAAGCAACUACUGACGUUGAGGCACGAAAGCGAGGGGAGCAAACAGGAUUAGAUACCCCUGUAGUC